rnacentral:lncRNA from 10 species
UGGUGUCCGUGGACCCCGCCGCGGCGUUCUCCAGGGCCGCGGACCUUUGCCCACCGGUUGCGCCCGCUGCCCCGGGCAGAAAGGACCCCCCUCCUCCCGGACCGAGCCCCGAGCCCCAUGGAGCAGCAAAUCCUGGUUGGUCAUGGUGGAGACUGUAAAGCAAUCAUUCUCAAGGAGGGGCUUUUUCACGCAGUAUGCCUGGAGAGAGGCUGCACCACCACCGCGUUCCUCCCCGAUGAGUCCAGUGAGCCACGGCUGCGGGCUACGGUGUUGUGGUGCUCGGGUGUGUUGGAAGGAAAUGGGAUCUUACUCCAAUGAGAAGCAGAGAAAUGCUAGCCCCGGGAGAAGACCUAGGAAAAGUGUAACAAGAGGCACCAUCUGUCACUGAGCCCCUCUCUCUAUGCCAGGCUCCGAGCCAGGUGCUUUACAUUAUGGGAGCUACUCCUGAACAACUGUGUGAGAUACUGGUAUCCCUUUACAGAUAAG